rnacentral:rRNA from 1 species
CGUAGGCAACCUACCCUUGUGACCGGCAUAACAUCGAGAAAUUGGUGCUAAUACCGGAUAACAUCUUGAAUACGCCUGUAUUUAAGAUCAAAGGUGCUUUUGUAUUGCAUAGGGAUGGGCCUGCGUUCCAUUAGCUAGUUGGGUAGGUAACGGCUACCCAAGGCGACGAUGGAUAGCUGAUCUGAGAGGGUGAUCAGCCACACUGGGACUGAGAUACGGCCCAG